rnacentral:tRNA from 1 species
GGAAGGGUCGCUCAGCGGUAGAGCACCGCGGUGUCACCUGACCCGCGGCGGCAUCAUGCCUCGUGGCGUUCAAAUCCCACCCCUUCCG